rnacentral:rRNA from 1 species
UACGUAGGGCGCAAGCGUUGUCCGGAUUUAUUGGGCGUAAAGAGCGUGUAGGCGGCCAGGUAGGUCCGUUGUGAAAACUCGAGGCUCAACCUCGAGACGUCGGCGGAAACCCUCUGGCUAGAGUCCGGAAGAGGAGAGUGGAAUUCCUGGUGUAGCGGUGAAAUGCGCAGAUAUCAGGAAGAACACCCGUGGCGAAGGCGGCUCUCUGGGACGGUACUGACGCUGAGACGCGAAAGCGUGGGGAGCAAACAGG